UAGAGGAGGCAAACAUUUACUGUGGCUUGGUUCAAGGUCUACAGUCUGCCAAGGUGGGAAAAGUGUGGUGGGAAAAGCAUUGCACCAAGGAGGAGACAGAAGCAGUGGUCACGGGAACAUGCUCACGCCUAGGAGGAUGAGGAAGCAGGAAAGGAGCAAACGGGUGUCAAGACUUUGUUCUCCUUUGUUUUAAAUUCUGUCUGGAACUCCAACCUGUGUGAUAAUGAUGUCAACAUUUCCAUCUCAGUUGUUUCGAGUAACACCUUGACACAUUAUACCCAAAGCCGCUUGUUCCACAGAUGCACCAUGCUGCGAAGGUCCUCAGGUAGCUCUUGGCAGCACAUCUGGAGCCUUCAACCAAGAGCUAGGACACUUAUUUGCCAGUCCAGUAAGACAGCCACCUCUUGGUGGAGUCUCCACAUGCAGUCAAGACUUCACAUGAUAAUAAGAGCAGCUGACAUGACUCCAGGAACUCCAGGGGCUCCAGGUUUCUAGGAUUGCUUUGCUUCUACAAGAGUCCAGAGCAAAGAGAGAAAGAAGUGAACUAAGUAUGUCCAGUGGAAUGGACCUGGCUGGUCUAGGAGUGUCUGUGAGAGAGGAGAGAACAGAAGAAGACAGAACACAGAGCAAACACAGUUUCAUGGUAUGGUGAACCCCAUUGGACAUGGUACAGCACCG